UUUUUUUUCAAAUUAUUUUUAAAAAUCAGUUUUAAAAAGUGUUUUUAAUUAUUUAAAAAAUAAAAUAUUGUUUAUAAACUUAUAAAUUUAUUUAUUUUUGGCAUUUUCCCACUCUAAUUCUAAAUAUCGACCUUAAAUCUUUUUAAAUGAAAAUUAAUCAAAAUAUUUUCCAUAUUUUUUAAUGUUUCUAAAAUAUAUAUGUUUUUUUUAAUCUAGAAACACUUUAAAUCUGUUUUAGAAAAUAAAUUAUUUUCAAAAUGGAGUGGAAACUGUUUUUUGGAAGCAAUUUCCAAACAAGCCUACGUCUCUGCUUUGCGUGAGACUAUAUAAUAAUGAGACACGCAAACUUUCUGACUUGCUCUGGGGUUGAAGCAGAUCGGAAUCGCUAUCCUCAAUCACCGCUACUCUAUCGAAAUGGGCUUGAAGGAAGAGUUUGAGGAGUAUGCUGAGAAAGCUAAGACCCUCCCUGAGAAUACAACAAACGAAAACAAACUCAUUCUCUAUGGGCUCUACAAACAAGCCACUGUUGGGAACGUGAACACCAGCCGUCCGGGGAUAUUCAACCUGAGGGAGCGAGCAAAGUGGGAUGCCUGGAAGGCUGUUGAAGGAAAAUCCACAGAGGAAGCCAUGAACGACUACAUCACCAAGGUAAAACAGUUGCUGGAGGAAGCUGCUGCUGCUGCUGCUUGAGGCCUUCAAACGCCUGGUUUUUCCUGGUUCCCUUGUGCUUGUUUGGCUUGUGGGAAAAAACCAUGUAGUAGCGAUAAUAAUCUCUCUCUCUCACCUUGGGUACUGUUAGUCUCUCUUUUCAGACCUCUAUGCUUCUGAAUCGCUGAAAUCCAUCUUAAUUUGAAAUUAUCACUAGUCUAUCUUUUUAUGUUA